ACGUGGUGAAAAUUUUGCAAAACCAUAAAAGGGAUAUAAACCAAAUAAAAAACAAUAUAAAAGUGUUGUGGCUGCAAAGACGAAAACUUAAAAAACCAACCCCUGGAUAAGGUACGCCAAGAAAAAAAUGGAAAAGUGACCUGUAAUAAGGUAAAUAAUUCCAUGUAUUUACUGUACACAGGUUAUGAUCCACGUGUGGCAGGAAAUUGCUGACCUGGCCUGACCCUCGGUCUCGGAGGGGGGUCCGCUCCAGUACCACGAUCAUCCGUCCCUCUUUUUGGUGCCACCGGACCUUGCCUGCAGGCGAAAAAACGGAUGGACUUGGCGAUCGGGACCUAUGCGCACUUAAAUAGACCCACCUGACCGUAUGUCACCUAUUCUCUCCUUCUCUCAGGUUAUUAAAAUUGUUCGAUGCCGAAAUUCUAAAAGCCAC
rnacentral:lncRNA from 1 species